CAAAUGCUCCCUCCGUCCCAAAAUUCUNNNNUUAGAUUUGUCUAGAUAUGAAUGUAUCUAGUCACGCUUUAGUAUUUAGAUACACUCAUUUCUAGACAAAACUAAGACAAGAAUUUUGGGACGGAGGGAGUAUAUG
rfam:Hordeum vulgare subsp. vulgare, WGS project CAJW01000000 data, contig: morex_contig_36790